rnacentral:rRNA from 1 species
AUACGUAGGGGGCGAGCGUUGUCCGGAAUGAUUGGGCGUAAAGGGCGCGUAGGCGGCCCGGUAAGUCUGGAGUGAAAGUCCUGUUUUUAAGAUGGGAAUUGCUUUGGAUACUGUCGGGCUUGAGUGCAGGCGAGGUAAGUGGAAUUCCCAGUGUAGCGGUGAAAUGCGUAGAGAUUGGGAGGAACACCAGUGGCGAAGGCGACUUACUGGACUGUAACUGACGCUGAGGCGCGAAAGUGUGGGGAGCAAACAGGAUUAGAUACCCUGGUAGUCCACGCGGUAAACGAUGAAUGCUAGGUGUUGCGGGUAUCGACCCCUGCAGUGCCGGAGUCAACACAAUAAGCAUUCCGCCUGGGGAGUACGGCCGCAAGGUUGAAACUCAAAUGAAUCGGCGGGG